UGAAUACGAGACGCUAAGGCGUCGAAGUAGUGUAUGUCAUACUUCCAAGAAAAGCUUGCACUGUCAUAGAUAAAAAACGCCUGUACCAUAACCGACACAGGUGGGUAGGUAGAGUAUACUAAGGGGCGCGAGAUAACUCUCUCUAAGGAACUCGGCUAAAUAACUCCGUAACUUCGGGAGAAGGAGUGCCUUAUUCGUAAGGUUGCAAUAACAAGAUCCAAGCAACUGUUUAUCAAAAACACAGGUCUCCGCUAAGCCGUAAGACGAUGUAUGGGGGCUGACGCCUGCCCAGUGCCAGAAGGUUAAAGAAGUUGGUUAGCAAUUGCGAAGCUGAUAACUGAAGCCCUGGUGAACGGCGGCCGUAACGAUAACGGUCCUAAGGUAGCGAAAUUCCUUGUCGGGUAAGUUCCGACCCGCACGAAAGGCGUAAUGAUUUGGAUACUGUCUCGGAGAGGGGCUCGGUGAAAUAGACUUGUCUGUGAAGAUGCGGACUACCUGCACCAGGACAGAAAGACCCUAUGAAGCUUUACUGUAACUUGAAAUUGAAAUUGGACUUUAUUCGCGCAGCAUAGGUGGGAGGCGUUGAUUAUAAUCUUGCGGGAUUAUUGGAGCCAUCAGUGAGAUACCACUCUUGUAAUGUUAGAUUUCUAACUUUGAAUCAUUAUCUGGUCAAAGAACAGUUUCAGGCGGGCAGUUUGACUGGGGCGGUCGCCUCCUAAACGGUAACGGAGGCGUACAAAGGUUUCCUCUGACGGUUAGAAAUCGUAUCUAGAGUGUAAAGGCAUAAGGAAGCUUGACUGUGAGACCUACAAGUCGAGCAGGGACGAAAGUCGGUCUUAGUGAUCUGACGGUACUGAGUGGAAAGGCCGUCACUCAACGGAUAAAAGUUACUCUAGGAUAACAGGCUGAUCUCCCCCAAGAGUUCACAUCGACGGGGAGGUUUGGCACCUCGAUGUCGGCUCAUCGCAUCCUGGGGCGGUAGUACGUCCCAAGGGUUGGGCUGUUCGCCCAUGAAAGCGGUACGCGAGCUGGGUUCAGAACGUCGUGAGACAGUUCGGUCCAUAUCCGGUGUAGGCGUUAGAAUAUUGAGAGGAGCCUUCUUUAGUACGAGAGGACCGAGAAGGACAUACCUCUGGUGUACCAGUUAUCGUGCCAACGGUAAACGCUGGGUAGCUAUGUAUGAAGUGGAUAACCGCUGAAAGCAUCUAAGUGGGAAGCCCACCUCAAGAUAAGUAUUCUCACC
rnacentral:rRNA from 1 species